AAAAUCUGAAGGCGGCCUUUCAUAAAACAAAGGAAAUAUGUUAUAUACAUAUAAGCUGAAACCGCUUAAUAAAAUUUUUAUUCUCCUGCUCACACCUCUGGAGACUGCAUCAUGAAGUUAACUGAGUUGCUCUUAUUUUUGGCUAUUUUUUUGGCGGCUGUUUUGUAUGUCAACGGAUGCAAAAGGAGUGGAGAAACCUGCAAUAAUGAUGAUAUAUGCUGUUCGAGACAAUGUGCCCUGGCACCUUUUCGUUUUGGAUGGACUUGCGUUUAAAAUUUUAAGAGAAAUAUAAUUGAUUCCUUCUUGGUAUCAAUCGCUUGGAAAAGGAUUCCAAGCAGAAUAUCAAUAAAUUCAUUUUUACUUUUGACAACCGAAAGUGCCACUGGGAUGCCCUAGUUGCCACAUGUUGCAGGAGGAGUCACUUUGCUGGUAAAAUGGAAGAAACCUACAACUAUCCUGGUAGACAACAUCAUCUGACAGUUUGUCUAACAUUAAAAGCGGCAAAAUGUUGCGGCGUUGCCUGCCAAAUGACAUGAUUUCUCAGUUCUGAUUCGGUUGCCACUCUGCAGCACCCCUCCAUGACUCCUCAGCCCCAGAGCUCCACAUCAACUUCAACUCAAGAACUGAACGAAACUUUUGCUUAUCUGCGUCACAGCCACAAAACCGAAUCCCAACUCCAGCCAACCACAUCGACGCCCAUUUCCAGCCUCUGACUACACUGAGGAUCAAGAAUAUAUAUAAGCUAUAUCCAUGGAUAGAAA